UAGUUUUCAACAGAAAGCUAGCCCAAUCAAUGAUGGGUUAAAAUGAAUACUGUGUAGAGAACCUUCAACAAUUUAGCCAUGGACAAAGAAUAGAAGAACAGUAAGAAGACAGAGGAAAACAAUGACAUCAUUUUGUAGUUUGGCAUUAUUGUAGAUCUAUUUAACAGGAAAAAGUGUUCCUAUGACAUGGUCCAUGCUCGUGCCUAUUGGAUGGAGGCUGAAGAGAGCAAUUCAUCAUCCAAUGUGCUUGUACAGCGAGAAAAAAAUAUAAAACAAUACAUGUAUUUCAUUUGAAUUAUGAUAUAGUAUAAAGCUAUGUAUUUGUUUUUAGAGAAAUUAUAUCAUAUCUUGCUGUUUUUUUGCCAAUAAAAUCUCCUAAGUUUUCUGGUUUAUCCGGUUAUAGUAUGUUGUUUCUCAUGACAAACGUGUUUGGUGUUUUCAAUUCUUUCUGCUCAGAUGAAGGCCACCUGUUUAUGUGUGGAGAUAAUUCAUUUGGUCAGCUUGGGACAGGAGAUAAUCAGUCAUAUAACCUCCCUGUUGAAGUAUUAUUCUUCGCUUCAAAGCAUGUUGAACAGAUAGCAUGUGGGAUGCGACACACUCUUGCCUUGGUCACUGGUGAUUUAGUCUAUGGGUUUGGUUCUGCUAGACAUGGGCAAAUUGGCAAUUCUGUGUCUAAGCCUCAAAAAUCAUGUAAUCUUCCUGAAGUAAUUCAAGGAUUUGGGAGCUGCAAAAUAGUGGGUCUUUUCGCCAAUGGAGAUCACAGUGCUGCAUUGACUGCUAAUGGAGAGUUAUACAUCUGGGGAAGAGGAUUCAGUGGGGCUUCCAAUGACCUUCACCCUCGUCUUCUGCAUUCAUCCUUGAGGAUUUCUCAAGUUGCAUUGGGAUGGCAUCAUGCCAUAGUACUAGCUGAUGGUGAAGUAUAUAUGCUUGGUGGAUACCGUCAUUGGGCAGCAAGUGGUUCCCAUGUAGUGAAUCCUGUGCGGCAUCAAUCAGUUCCAUCUGCUCCAUGUGCUGCUGUCUCAGAUGUGCGGACGCUAGAGAAGGUAUCUUGUCUUGAUGGGGAGCGAGUAGUGCAAAUUGCUGCAGGCGCUGAGCAUUCUGCCCUACUAACAGAGCGAGGAAAGAUCAUGACAUGGGGCUGGGGGGAGCAUGGCCAGCUUGGUUUGGGAAACACGGACGAUCAGACAUUUCCACAAAUAGUCAACAUACCCAACAGGAGAUCUUUUGCUUCUACUCUAGGCAUAUAUUGUGAAUGCAGAAUCCAGCGUGACAAACGGUGUAGACUAUAUUUCUGAAGAAGAAGAUGCUUGGUGACAUUGGAACCGUUGAAGAAGACACAUCAGUCAUUAUUUCAGAGAACAGCGGAGACAGAGCGGAGGCGGCCUGCUUCAAUUUUGUCCGGUGCAUCCUUACCCUCGCCCGCACACCCCCCACCUUCCUCGCCUCCGACCCCGCCAAGGCCGCGCCGCGACUCUUUUUUUUUUUUCCUCUCCGACUCUCCUCUACCGUCUCCGACGACGACGCCUCUCUCACCCUUCCCCAUCCUUCUCGUCCUCUCCCUCUCCCUUCUCCUUUGCCGCCUCUAACGACGACGCAUAUUCGCCGACGCCAACACCAUGGAGGUCACUGCGGGGUUGCAGCCUCGGAGCGGGGGGGUCCUUAGCGGUGUCGUCGCCAGCGCUGUGGCCGUUGGCAGAGAGGGGUGAUCAAAAAAAAUUAUAAAAGA